rnacentral:SRP_RNA from 1 species
GCUGGGCGUGGUGGUGGGCGCCUGUAGUCCCAGCUACUCGGGAGGCUGAGGCAGGAGAAUCACUUGAACCCAGGAGGCAGAGGUUGCAGUGAGCUGAGAUGGUGCCACUGCACUCUAGCCUGGGUGACAGAGGGAGACUCUGUCUCAA